ACACACAGAAUUACGAGCUUUCGCAACUGGCAGUUGCUUCGUCAGGAAGGAAGGAAGGAAAGGGAAAAAUGAAAGGAUGUGGGUUUUAAGGGAGAGGGUAAGGAGUCAUUCCAAUCCCGGGAGCGGAAAGACUUCCCUUAGGGGAAAAAAAGGACAGGUGUACACUCGCACACACACACACAUAUCCAUCCGCACAUACACAGACACCUCACUUGCAACUUGCCUCACAGCGCUCUAGAAACUCCAAAGUUAAAUGUAAAAUGUCACAUUCUCAUAGAAACUUUGUAAAGGAACAUAAUAAUUACCUUGUGCACAAACAGAUUUGCGUGCAGUAUCAAGAAUAACGAAGGGACAUGCAUAUAUGGUAGAGAAGACACUGAACACAGGUGCUUAAAGCUCAUUAAUCAGCUAGGGACAGAGCAUGCUUUUGAAAUUUCUGCUACAGAAAGAAAGUUAAAUAUAAUUGCGAAAGUGGAAAUGAUUGUGCAGUAGAAGUCAAGGAAGUGAUUGCAUUGUCAAAGUGCUAAGCUGACACAGUCUGAAGUUAUUUGGCAAUCUUGUUUUUUUGCUAGGAUUGGCCUGCCAGUUUAAAUGAAAUUAAAUAUAAAUUUUUGUUUAACACCUACAGCAGCAGAAAUAAGAUCUGUAACCUUGCCAGAACACAGUCAAACAACAAUAUAUGACAAUAAAGGACAGUAAAUGUUAAUUUAAUUUGCCUGAAAACUUCUAAUUAAAACAAACAACUACCAUACAUUUCCGUUGCAAUCUCCACAUUUCAGUGUGUAAGUAUUGCAAUUGAAAUCUCCAGACAAGUAGUUCUGGGUAUUGAGGUUUUAUACCGUAAUUUUAUGGCAGCUGAAUUCCAUAUUGAUAUGCUACAUUUCACGAAUCUUUUGCUAGUGAGCAGGAUAAGCGGGAAAAAUUGAUGGCACAGCUUCUUCCCUAAUGCGGACUGACGAAACUGAUGUUCGAUCAGUAUCUUCCUCCCGGAAAUGCUGCGAACAUAUUUUACUGUACUUGGUUGGUUUCCAAUCUUUCCUUCUCACAGCGUUCACCCAGAGAGCUCUUUGCAUUGGAUUGAUAGGGAAUCUAAAGUCAAGUCACAGAAAUAAAACCAUACAGUACAACUUCACAGUGCAUCAGAAUUUCAAGUAUAUAUAAGAAAAUAAAGCCCACUUACGAAUGAAAUGUGAUUUGUUUAAACUUUAGACUACAACCAGAACGAUUAGUACACCCGUAAGCGACGCAAGCCGGCAUUUUUUUAUCACAACACUUGACGACCACACGGAAUCAAACCACCAAAUGCAAAUAUUUUGGGGUAGGUAACGUGGCGGACCUUCUCUUGGGUUGGCUUCAAGUUUGUGACGUCAUAACAACUCUUUUUAUUUUUACCUCCAUGUGAAAUAUGAGAGUUGAGAUCUCUCUGGUGCACUUCUCACAAAUUUGUAGAUAACUUCUGCCAUAUUCACAAGUUUCUUCUGUGGGAGCUUCUUUUAAUGAAGUGAUUCAUUUGAUUUGUUCAGAUGUAGCGAAAGUGAUCGCCUCCGUUUAUCUCGUUUUAGUGACAGAGAGAGAUGGGUAAGUUACUGGGCUGACCCGUAAAUGGAAAGUGAGGUUAGGUGACUGUGGCACAGUACAGCGUAAUUUCUUGUAAGAUGGAUUUACCUGGUUACCUUACCGCAUCUGUGAACCAUCUAUAACAGGCGAGGGGUUAAGAUGGCGGCGAAUAUUGGUGAACCCGAUUUUGCUGCUAAGAUGAUUUAUAGUGUUGCAGUUGGAAAAGAUGGCGUGUGUGUAGUGCGAAGUGAAAUCGCUAAAUAUAAUGAACGUAUUCCAAGUUCACAGUGUGUAAUCAACAGCCUCAGAAGAGAAAACUACAGCCUGAAGUACGAAUAUAUGCAGCUGAAAUCAAAACCAUACAUGGAUGACCUACCAAACAAAGAGUGUCGGCAAUUUGGAAGAAAGUAUCCAACAACGGAAUGCAUUAAGGCGGCGGCACACAGGAAGAGAUAGCUAACGUUGACGUGGUGCUCUACGAGUUUUGUAGCGCCACUUCCUGCUAUUUCACGUUGAGGAGCCAUUUUUCUCAUGUGAAACACAAAAUAAGUUCUGCGAUAUUUCGAGGCCGGCAUCACACUAUCAAAUUUCUUUGUCAAAGAGUUGAUAAAAGAUGUGAUCAAAUAUUCCAUCAAAUAUUCCGUCAAAUAUAAUUGACAAAGAUCUUUCACGUAGCGGUAGAAGGGGUAUUACAGUUUUCAACUUAUAUUUUUCUUCAAAGUUCAAGGUGACUGACAAUAACAACUUGUUAUUAACCGCAACAGUUGCAUACACCACAAGUGCACUGUGUGAGCAAGCGGAAGAGAAGCGGGGAAAAAAAAGGAAACAUACCUGGGUGAAGCCGUGGGUUUUACGACGACAUGAUAAAAGCAUUCAACAAAAUUAGUUACGUGAGCUUGUAGUGACGGACGUGAAGUCGUACAUCAAUUACUUAAUAAUGGAUGAGCAUACAUUUCUGUAUGUGUUCAGUGAAGUGAAGUGUGUCCUCAUAUCGCGAAGCACAAUAUGAAGUGCUACAUCUGCAGAAGACAGUCCAAAGGAUUGGCAAACAAAGUUCUAAAACAUGAGGAACAUGUACAAUGUUCAGAAUAGAAAAAAGGAAAGAAAGUAUGAGAAUCGGAGUUGGAACAGAUGAUGUGUAUACGCCAGCUUUGUGGUACUUUCACAGGUUAGAAUAUCUGCAAGAACACUACAUCCCUUAGGUAUUCAGAUGGAUGAAAGCUCAGUCGAUAAUAAUGCUGUGCGAUCUUCCACACAUGAUCUGAUGGUGGAGAAUGAUAUAGACCUCAGUGAAGAAACUGAAGUAAUAGGUGAAGUGCCUUCACCAGUAACUACGUAGAGUAUAGGACAGAGUGGCACAGCAAGUAAUUCUACACCAAAAAGAAGGAAAUGGAGCGAGGAAGGGAGCUAUUAAAGUGCUAUUGACUUAAUAGCUGAAAGAUUACAGACUAAUAGUGACGAUGAUGUAGACACAUUUGUGAAAUAUUUGGCCACUGAGAUGAAGACCAUUAGAAGCCACGAAACAAGAAUGUUAGUUAAACAACAAAUUCUCCAACUCGUGUAUGAGGCUGUUCUCAAUCAAUAAAUGGUGUGUGAAUCCGG